AGCAGCCACGGUAAUUCCAGCUCCAAUAGCGUAUAUUAAAGUUGUUGCAGUUAAAAAGCUCGUAGUUGAAUUUCGGGAUCAAUACGUCGGUCGUACCUCGGUACGUACUGACGUCAUUGGUUUCUCCCUUCUGAUGAACCAUGAUGUCAUUUAUUUGGUGUCGUGGGGAAUCAGGACUGUUACUUUGAAAAAAUUAGAGUGUUUAAAGCAGGCUCACGCUUGAAUACAUUAGCAUGGAAUAAUGAAAUAGGACGUUUGAUUCUAUUUUGUUGGUUUCUAGGAUCGACGUAAUGAUUAAUAGGGAUAGUUGGGGGCAUUAGUAUUCAAUUGUCAGAGGUGAAAUUCUUGGAUUUAUUGAAGACUAACUACUGCGAAAGCAUUUGCCAAGGAUGUUUUCAUUAAUCAAGAACGAAAGUUAGGGGAUCGAAGACGAUCAGAUACCGUCGUAGUCUUAACCAUAAACUAUGCCGACUAGGGAUCGGAUGAUGUAAUUUUUUAAUGACUCAUUCGGCGCCUUAAC
rnacentral:rRNA from 1 species